CAAACAACGAAAAAGGCGCAGCGGUGCCGAGUGUGUGAAGAGACAACCGCACAAACUCCAGACACCACAUUGGUCAAAGAGAAGCGAAGACACUGCAGGAGUGCCAUGUUACAAGAGAAUUCCUGAGGCGAGCCAAUGGCCCGAUAAAUCUGCCGGAGCCUCUCUCUCAAUUUGUCUCCGUGGAAUGUCAGCUGGCAAGUGCCCAGACACUGAGAACCUCUUUUCACAAUGCGCCAAUCUAACAGACGAGAUCCCAUGUUGGAGCUACAGUACAAGGACUGGCAUGGAUAAAUUGCCACGUGCCUUAUCUAUGUCUCUUUAUGUCUAACUGUCUGAGGUCUUGCUCCUUCCAUCCAUGGCCUCCAAAGGCCACUUCCUCGCAGGCCUGACAGUGAACCUAAAUGGCUGAGUGGGUGACGUUGACAAAAUGCAGGUGUCACAAAAGAGGAACCUGUGAUAUGACACAGAUGCUGUGUCAACCCGGCUUACUCCAUAUGACCCGCAGUGUGAACAGAAAUUGUUCUGUUUGGUGUCGUUCAUCACUGUGUGGCGCAGUCUCCCACAUAGCUCGGUCCAGGUGGCGGAAUGGCAGAGUGGGAGAACAGACCAUGUUUGUGUGAAGAUGCAACAACUAUCUCUCUCUUUUUCUUUCUCUCUCAUUCCCUGCCUUCCUCCCUCCCCUCCGUCCCUUCCUCCCCCCCCCUUCCCCUCUCCCUCUCCCUCUCCCUGUUCAAGCAGACUGCUGUAGCACUCUUUGUACUCUAUUUAAAGGUUGUAGGUUAGCAAACAACAAGAUGCCUUCCCACCUGUACCCCUAAGUGAGUCAUGAAUGAAUUCAUCCGCUUAUUUAUGUACAGUAUUUGCAGUAAAAAAUAAUACAUGCAUACAUGCAGAUAGACUGGAAUAAAGGCUUGUUGCUUAUUAAUAAUUUAAAUAAAGUUUUUAGAGCUGGUUGGGUUAUUGCUGAAAUUAGAUUCAAUGAAAAUGUCUGAGUGACUUACAGAAUGGUAGCAUAUUUUAUGGCACAUAAAAAAUGUGGUUAUGUCUGAAAAAACUGUAUAAUUGCCCCUUUCAGGUAUUCUGGAAAAUAUCCUUCGGUUACAUUAGAUGACCGUGUAUAUGUGUUAAAAUAAAUUGUAGCGAUCGGAGUAAAUUAAAAGAUCUUUUUUUUUGUUUAACGAAAUAAAAAUCCCAAAUGAAUGCCA